CCCACAGCCCGCUGGUCAGAUGCCCGGAUGUUCUCUGCUGGAACACACCUCGGGCAGGGUGCAGCCUGGACCCAAUAGGCAGGGGAGCCGUGGAAACUGAUCUUGGGAAACUGACCUUGGAUUGACCCUCACAGUAAGCUCGGAGGAAUGUGCUGGGAGUUUCCCAUUACUUGCACCUGCUCAGGAGGAGUGCCCGAGCCUGGAGUCUUCAGUGCGGCGGGGCUGAGCCAGCAAGACAGACGUCAGAGGAAGGGCCGAGGAAGCUUCUGGAAUGAAACUGGAGGGAGCCCUGACCCUGUCCGUUGCUAUCUCUGACAUCUGAAAGCCAAGAGCAACCUGAAUGAUCAACCUCUUAGCACUGCACCUUGUACACAAGAGACAGACCUAUGAGCAGCAUUUGGCUGGUCGUUUACGAUGAUGGAAUCUCAGCAGGAAACACCAUUUGUUUUCCUUCUUAUUAUUCUAAAGCUAGAAACUGAUGGGCCAUGCUGUUCUGGCCUGGAAGCCACAGACCCGGAGCAAUUUCCGACUCAGGACUCUUAGUAGCAUGGUAUGUUAGAAGCUGCCAAGGAGCGUUACGAGGCAGUGUGGUCUGUUGGACAGAGCACGCAUUGACCAUCUGGACACCUUCUCUUUCGCAUGGGAUAUGCAUGGUCUCCUGUGCUGCCCAGUCCCAACAGAUAAGGCCACAAGCUGGUGGGGGAGGGGACACUGUGGGAAGCCAGCUCCUCCUAUGAUAUCCUUCUGGCGCCUGACCCGUCUGCCCAGCUACUGACCACUGCAACCAGCAUCAGGUUCGGUUAAAUAUGGACCUUCAAAAAAUGACACCUGGGUCUUUUGAAAUGUGUGGGGAUAUCAUGACUCACGUGCUUCAGAACAUUAAACGCCUGUCACUCGUA